rnacentral:lncRNA from 1 species
CACAGAAAUUACACACACACACACAUGGGGGAAUUGAUUGGGUUCCCACAAAACAAAACAAAACAAAACAAAAUAAUUGAGGUAAAUCUUAUACUCUAGAACAAAAAAACUUUUAGAAGAACUUAAAAAUACUAUCCAUCAUGCUAAUAUCAUAGUUUUGUUUUUUAUUUUUUCAUUACCGCAAUCAGUAUGGUCCAAUCAUUGAAACUUUCAUUAAAUUGCAUGCUAAAGUGUAGAGCCAAAAUAUGUCAGGCAGGCUGCUACAAGGAUAGUAAGACCCAAAAGUUCCAUCUUACCCGCCAAUAGCUAAAUGUUAAAUUUCUUGAACACAACCUAUAUGCCAAAUACCUGAACAGCUAACUAACGUUGGACAUUCGUUAUACUCAAUCAACAUAUAUCCCAGGACCAAGAAAGUUAUAAAGAAACAAAAUGAAACAAGAAUUAAAAAAAUGAAAACAAAAACUUAAGAGAAAAGAGAAAUGCACAAUCAAGUUAUCCAUGCUCAGUGACACUAGAAUAUGCAAACAGAAUAAUUGACCUCAUCAUCCAGAAAAGUUAAGCUAGAGAAAUGCAAAUGUUUCGAUAUGAGCUGAAGCAUAACAAAACAACUAUGCCCAGAGAAACAAUAGUGUGACGUCUUAUGUUCGAUUAACCUAAUUUGGCAGUGAAAGGCCUUCUAGUGAAUGACAUGACUUUAACACUAAAUCGAGAAGAGGAAACUCUUCUGCACUAACUCAUCAAUUCAUCCAUUAAGGUUAGGCUUCGGGAUAUCAACAUAGUAAGUCUAUCCCUUGCAAGGUCUAGAUAAUGGGUGAUUUUUUAAUUUAGACUUUGACAGAAGGUAGGAUUGAUGUGGGUGCACCCACUUGGAAGGGAAGCCUAAAACGAAGACAUAACUAAAUAACAUGCCAGUUACGCAGAAUUCAUAUAAGAAAAAAGAUUGUAUCUACAGCUAAAUGCUAGUGAGAGUCCUUGGACACAGAUGAAUAUGCUGACUCACGAUUGGUGAUCACUUUAUUUCCACGACAUUUGCAUUAAGUUAUAAGUUACAAGUUACAACUAAAAGAAUGACGAAGG